rnacentral:rRNA from 1 species
GAUGAACGCUAGCGGCAGGCUUAACACAUGCAAGUCGAGGGGUAGAGGUUGCUUGCAACCUUGAGACCGGCGCACGGGUGCGUAACGCGUAUGCAACCUACCUUUUACAGAGGGAUAGCCCAGAGAAAUUUGGAUUAAUACCUCAUAGUAUAUAACCUUCGCAUGUUGGUUAUAUUAAAGUUCCAACGGUAAAAGAUGGGCAUGCGUCCUAUUAGCUAGAUGGUAAGGUAACGGCUUACCAUGGCUACGAUAGGUAGGGGUCCUGAGAGGGAGAUCCCCCACACUGGUACUGGGACACGGACCAGACUCCUACGGGAGGCAGCAGUGAGGAAUAUUGGACAAUGGGCGCAAGCCUGAUCCAGCCAUGCCGCGUGCAGGAAGACGGUCCUAUGGAUUGUAAACUGCUUUUGUACGGGAAGAAACACUCCUACGUGUAGGAGCUUGACGGUACCGUAAGAAUAAGGAUCGGCUAACUCCGUGCCAGCAGCCGCCGUAAGAC